CAUGUGGGAAAGAGUUAUCUAAGUAUGGUUCUCAAUCAGAGAAUCAGUCCCUGAUUGAGAACCACACCCGGCCAAAAACAAAGAAAUACAAAAUCAUAGAAAAAAAAUAACAUAGAAUGCCCACCCUAGUCACACCCUGGCCUAAACAAAAUAGAGAAUUAAAAACCUCUCUAUGGCCAGGGCGUGACAUACGGUUUAACACUAAGAUCCUCUCAACCUUUUAAUGGACCCAUUAUCAUACCAGACCAGUUUAAACUAAUGGGAGGAGGACAGGAACAAAGCUCUCCUCUGUGUCCCAAACCUCCCAUCCAUCUGCCCUCACACCCCUGAACUCACACAUAAAUGCACGGACGCACACGCACACACACACACACACACACCAAUCCAUGGCAGCAAUCCGCCAUUAAUGACAGAUGAGUAAUUUGCGACAGGUUUUAUUUCCAGAUUGUUUAAAAAAAUGUUUCCCAUGUAUCUCAGUUGGUAGAGCAUGGCAGCACAACAAUGUACUCACUCACUACUACAGUAAGUUGCUCUGGAUAAGAGAGUCUGGUAAAAUUACUAAAAUGUAAAACAUUAUGAUGAGUUCACAUGGAAUUCAAAUCUACAUGUAACUGGACUGUGGUAUGACUAGAAUCGUUGUUUUUUUUAAAUAACUUUACAUUUUUAUGAACUUGUCCCUCUGGGUUGGUAGGCUGAUCCACCCGAGCUGUUUUCGACCGGUGGCCCUAGAAAUCUAGAACACUAGAAGCCUAGGACACUAGGACACCAGGACAUUAGGAAACUACAACACUAGGACACUAGAACUCUUGGACACUAGGACACUAGAACACCACUAGAACUCUAGGACACUAGAACACUAGGACCGGAGUCACGUUACAUGUCUUCCAUUACCAGGGCCAGAUCAGAGAUAAUGGGUAGUAGUCUGUUCCCAUGUUUAUGCCUACUCUUGUCUCGUCUCGCUCCCACACACACACUACAUGUUCAUGUAGAUACAGUUGAAGUCAGAAGUUUACAUACACUUAGGUUGGAGUCAUUAAAACUCAUUUUUCAACCACUUCACAAAUUUCUUGUUAGUCGGUUAGGACAUCUACUUUGUGCAUGACAGAAGUCAUUUUUCCAACAAUUGUUUACAGACAGAUUAUUUCACUUAUAAUUCACUGUAUCACAAUUCCAGUGGGUCAGAAGUUUACAUACACUAAGUUGACCUUGCCUUAUUGUAAACAUUGUCAUCUUCUUCAGACAAGGAAUAGGAAAGAUCGGACCAAAAUGCAGCGUGGUACGUGUCCAUCUUAAAUUUAUUACUGAACACUGAACACAAAAUAACAAAAGUGAAACAACGAAAAUCAAAACAGUCCUGCAAGGUGACACAACACAAAACAGGAAACAACUACCCACAAACACAGGUGGGAACAGGCUACCUAAGUAUGGUUCUCAAUCAGAGACAACGAUAGACAGCUGCCUCUGAUUGGGAACCAUACCAGGCCAAACACAUAGAAAUACAACACACAGAACAAAACAUAGAAUGCCCACCCCAACUCACGCCCUGACCAAACCAAAAUAGAGACAUAAAAAAGUAACUAAGGUCAGGACGUGACACUUAAACAGCUUGGAAAAUUCCAGAAAAUGAUGUCAUGGCUUUAGAAGCUUCUGAUAGGCUAAUUGACAUCAUUUGAGUCAAUUUGAGGUGUACCUGUGGAUGUAUUUCAAGGCCUACCUUCAAACUCAGUGCAUCUUUGCUUGACAUCAUGGGAAAAUCAAAAGAAAUCAGCCAAGACCUUAGAAAAUAAAUUGUCGACCUCCACAAGUCUGGUUCAUCCUUGGGAGAAAUUCCCAAAUGCUUGAAGGUACCACGUACAUCUGUACAAACAAUAGUAUGCAAGUAUAAACACCAUGGGACCACGCAGCCGUCAUACUCCUCAGGAAGGAGACGUGUUCUGUCUCCUAGAGAUGAAUGUACUUUGGUGCGAAAAGUGCAAAUCAAUCCCAGAACAACAGUAAAGAACCUUGUGAAAAUGCUGGAGGAAACAGGUACAACAAUAUCUAUAUCCACAGCAAAACGAGUCCUAUAUCGACAUAACCUGAAAGGCCGCUCAGCAAGGAAGAAGCCACUGCUUCAAAACCGCCAUAAAAAAGCCAGACUACGGUUUGCAACUGCACAUGGGGACAAAGAUCGUACUUUUUUGAGAGAUGUUCUCUGGUCUGAUGAAACAACAAUAGAACUGUUUGGCCAUAAUGAACAUUGAUAUGUUUGAAAGAAAAAGGGGGAGGCUUACAAGCCGAAGAACACCAUCCCAACCGUGAAGCACGGGGGUGGCAGCAUCAUGUUGUGGGGGUGCUUUGCUGAAGGAGGGACUGGUGCACUUCACAAAAUAGAUUGCUUCAUGAAGCAGGAGAAUUAUGUGGAUAUGUUGAAGCAACGUCUCAAGACAUCAGUCAGGAAGUUAAAGCUUGGUCGCAAAUGGGUCUUCCAAAUGAACAAUAACCCCAAGCAUACUUUCAAAGUUGUGGCAAAAAGGCUUAAUGACAAUAAAGUCAAGGUAUUGGAGUGGCCAUGAAAAAGCGCUGACCUCAAUCCUAUAGAAAAGUUGUGGGCAGAACUGAAAAAGCGUGUUCGAGCAAAGGAGCCCUACCAACCUGACUCAGUUGCACCAGCUCUGUCAGGAGGAAUGUGUCAAAAUACACAUUCUUAAAAUAAAGUGGUGAUCCUAACUGACCUAAAACGGGAGAUUUUUACUCGGAUUAAAUGUCAAGAAUUGUGAAAAACUGAGUUUAAAUGUAUUUGGCUAAGGUAUACUGUAUGCAAAUAUCCGACUUCAACUGUAUCUUUCAGUAUAAAGGGACACAUAGUUCCACAACUGGACUGGAACACAUACUUCCACAACUGGACUGUGACACAUAGUUCCACAACUGGACUGAGACACAUAGUUCCACCACUGGACUGGGACACAUAGUUCCACAACUGGACUGGGACACAUAGUUCCACAACUGGACUAAGACAGGACUGGGACACAUAGUUCCACAACUGGACUGGGACACAUAGUUCCACAACUGGACUGGGACACAUAGUUCCACAACUGGACUGGGACACAUAGUUCCACAACUGGACUGGGACACAUAGUUCCACAACUGGACUGGAACACAUAGUUCCACAACUGGACUGGGACACAUAGUUCCACAACUGGACUGGAACACAUAGUUCCACAACUGGACUGGAACACAUAGUUCCACAACUGGACUGGGGCACAUAGUUCCACAACUGGACUGGAACUGGACUGUUGUCAAGCACCACAUAAACAUUUUCCUACACACUAGCUUGCUACUUUGUGUAGGGCUACACGUUACCGUCCUCUCCUGAUGACCAUUCAUAAUUUAACUCAAAUGUUAUUUGAGGAAAUAUGUUAAUCUUUGUGGUGCGACGUUUGUUACAAUCUAAGAUAGAUAACGAUCGUUAAUGUAAUUAAUUCAUGGUUUUUAGAACACCUGUAAAGCGGAGUGAUAUAUGUAUAGUUAAAAGUCCCAGUGCUGUUAUUCUCUACUCCAAUCAAAUUACUUGGUCGUAAAAAAAAUACUUGUGAACAUCAUUUUGAGUUCUUUUCACCCUUUUCAUAGUAAGCAGUGGGAACGUUUUACUUGCGUUUCCUUUUAGUAACGUUCAAGAUACUUUGGCGGUGCGUUAUCUGCUGUGUUUUUCUGACUUUUUCAUUGAAACUCUUAUUGAGCCAUAUCGAUAGAUUUCACAGUCGCAGCCCUGAUUUCUGGUUGUUAUGUGGUAUUGGCGGAUGCACUGAGGAAUAUAGAGUGUACAAUUCCUUCUAUCAUCAUGUAAAGAGAAGAUACACCUUCAACACCUACUUGAAGGCACCGGACCAGGUGAACAGCCAUCGGAGGAAAGCCAAGACAAAAUUCAACCCGAUCAGCUUCUAGCUAACUCCAGCAUCACUGAUCAGCAACUCCAUCAUACACCUGACUCAGAUGAAGGGAAACGGGGCAUUGACCAACAUGGAGCUGUCACAGUAAGAUCUGACUACACAUGCCACUGCUUUUGUGAUAAAUGCCAGAGCCAAGCAUCGUCUCUCACAGAACGGCGUGAAUGACAUUGUUGCUGGGGUACAGCCGUAUCAAUCACCACUAUUGGACAACCUCAGGAAGCAGAUGGAGGCAGUCCUAAAGAAGCAUUCAGGAAGCAGAUGGAGGCAGUGCUAAAGAAGUAUUCAGGAAGCAGAUGGAGGCAGUCCUAAAGAAGCAUUCAGGAAUCAGAUGGAGGCAGUGCUAAAGAAGUAUUCAGGAAGCAGAUGGAGGCAGUGCUAAAGAAGCAUUCAGGAAGCAGAUGGAGGCAGUCCUAAAGAAGCAUUCAGGAAGCAGAUGGAGGUAGUCCUAAAGAAGCAUUCAGGAAUUAGAUGGAGGCAGUGCUAAAGAAGCAUUCAGGAAGCAAAUGGAGGCAGUGCUAAAGAAGCAUUCAGGAAGCAGAUGGAGGCAGUGCUAAAGAAGCAUUCAGGAAUCAGAUGGAGGCAGUGCUAAAGAAGUAUUCAGGAAGCAGAUGGAGGCAGUGCUAAAGAAGCAUUCAGGAAGCAGAUGGAGGCAGUGCUAAAGAAGCAUUCAGGAAGCAGAUGGAGGCAGUCCUAAAGAAGCAUUCGGGAAUUAGAUGGAGGCAGUGCUAAAGAAGCAUUCAGGAAGCAAAUGGAGGCAGUGCUAAAGAAGCAUUCAGGAAGCAGAUUGAGGCAGUCCUAAAGAAGCAUUCAGGAAGCAGAUGGAGGCAGUGCUAAAGAAGUAUUCAGGAAGCAGAUGGAGGCAGUGCUAAAGAGGCAUUCAGGAAGCAGAUGGAGGCAGUGCUAAAGAGGCAUUCAGGAAGCAGAUGGAGGCAGUGCUAAAGAAGCAUUCAGGAAGCAGAUGGAGGCAGUGCUAAAGAAGCAUUCAGGAAGCAGAUGGAUGCAGUGCUAAAGAGGCAUUCAGGAAGCAGGUGGAGGCGGUGCUAAAGAAGCAUUCAGGAAGCAGAUGAAGCAUUCAGGAAGCAGAUGGAGGCAGUGCUAAAGAGGCAUUCAGGAAGCAGAUGGAGGCAGUGCUAAAGAACCAUUGAGGAAUCAGAUGGAGGCAGUGCUAAAGAAGUAUUCAGGAAGCAGAUGGAGGCAGUGCUAAAGAAGCAUUCAGGAAGCAGAUGGAGGCAUUGCUAAAGAAGCAUUCAGGAAGCAGAUGGAGGCAGUCCUAAAGAAGCAUUCAGGAAUUAGAUGGAGGCAGUGCUAAAGAAGCAUUCAGGAAGCAAAUGGAGGCAGUGCUAAAGAAGCAUUCAGGAAGCAGAUUGAGGCAGUCCUAAAGAAGCAUUCAGGAAGCAGAUGGAGGCAGUGCUAAAGAAGUAUUCAGGAAGCAGAUGGAAGCAGUGCUAAAGAGGCAUUCAGGAAGCAGAUGGAGGCAGUGCUAAAGAAGCAUUCAGGAAGCAGAUGGAGGCAGUGCUAAAGAAGCAUUCAGGAAGCAGAUGGAUGCAGUGCUAAAGAGGCAUUCAGGAAGCAGAUGGAGGCGGUGCUAAAGAAGCAUUCAGGAAGCAGAUGAAGCAUUCAGGAAGCAGAUGGAGGCAGUGCUAAAGAGGCAUUCAGGAAGCAGAUGGAGGCAGUGCUAAAGAACCAUUGAGGAAGCAGAUGGAGGCAGUGCUAAAGAAGCAUUCAGGAAGCAGAUGGAGGCAGUGCUAAAGAGGCAUUCAGGAAGCAGAUGGAGGCAGUGCUAAAGAAGCAUUCAGGAAGCAGAUGGAGGCAGUGCUAAAGAAGAAUUCAGGAUGCAGAUGGAGGCAGUGCUAAAGAAGCAUUCAGGAAGCACAUCAGGUCAACUUGAAGAAGAUGCAAUGGAUAUAUGUGACAAUUUCAUUUAGCCUUUUGCUGGUAUUGCAACAUUUCGAAAGCGCAGUGUUAUUAAGAAGCAGUUUAGCUGUUUGGACGCAGAGGAAAUUCCAAAUGCUCAAACCAUAUACAGGAUGAACCAUAUGCAGAAUGAACCAUAUGCAGGGUAGCCUAGUGGUCAGAGCGUUGGGCUAUUAACCGGAAGGUUGCGAGUUCAAAUCCCCGAGCUGACAAAUCUGUCGUUCUGCCCCUGAACAGGCAGUUAACCCACUGUUCCUAGGCCAUCAUUGAAAAUAAGAAUUUGUUCUUAACUGACUUGCCUGGUAAAAUAAAAAAAUAAAAAUGCAGAAUGAACCAUAUGCAGAAUGAACCAUAUGCAGUAUGAACCAUAUGCAGGAUGAACCAUAUGCAGUAUGAACCAUAUGCAGGAUGAACCAUAUGCAGAAUGAACCAUAUGCAGAAUGAACCAUAUGCAGGAUGAACCAUAUGCAGGAUGAACCAUAUGCAGGAUGAACCAUAUGCAGUAUGAACCAUAUGCAGAAUGAACCAUAUGCAGAAUGAACCAUAUGCAGAAUGAACCAUAUGCAGGAUGAACCAUAUGCAGAAUGAACCAUAUGCAAAUGAACCAUAUGCAGAAUGAACUAUAUGCAGAAUGAACCAUAUGCAGAAUGAACCAUAUGCAGGAUGAACCAUAUGUAGAAUGAGCCAUAUGCAGGAUGAAAUGUGGAGGAUCAAAGACAUUUUCAUCAAAGACAAAUUAUUUCAUUAUGUACCAUUAGUCAAAAGUCUAGAACAGUUCUUAUCACACCCAAUGAUUUUAUCUGGUUGAAAAAAGACCCCAGAUGUGCAGGGAAUGUUUUUUUCAUGACAUUGUUGAUGGUGCUCUUCUAAAAUCACAUCCCUUAUUUUCAGAGAAACCAAAUGCAUUGCAGAUUGUUCUGUACACGGAUGAAAUAGAGAUCUGUAAUCCACUAGGAUCCUUUGCAUCAAAAAAACAAGUUGUUAAUGGUGUACUACACCCUAGGAAACAUAAAUCCAAAAUACAGGUCUAAACUGGCUGCUAUCAGGCUACUUGCCAUGGCUAGAUCACCAGACCUCCGUCAAUCUGGUGUAGAUGUAAUAUUGAAUAGAAUCAAGGAACACAUGGAUACAUUGUACAGUGGGGUUAAAAUGCAAACUAUUAACGGAGAGAAAAUGAUAUAUGGUGCCAUGGUCUGUCUCUGUGGAGACACCCUGGCACAACAUGAACUAGCAGGGUUCAAAGAGGGUGUGGGCUUUACCUACAGUAAGUGCAGACACUGUGAGUGUUCUUUUGAAGACAUGCAGUCACUCUUCAAUGAGGAUGCAUAUACUAAAAGGUCAUUGGAGAAGCAUGUCAGACAGUGUGAUGAAAUAGAAAAGGCGCAGACGGACUUGCUUAGCAACAGCCUGAGAACAACAUAUGGGAUCAAUAGAAGGAGCAAGUUAGUUGAGUUCCCAGCCUUUGAUAUUAUAGAACAACUCCGCAAGACAUUAUGCAUGUCAUUCUGGAGGGCAUUGGAAAUCAAAUGUGUUUUGAAUCAUCUUGUUGUGUCAGGACAGAUUGAUCUGGACUACUAUUCUUGGUUUCCUUUAUUCCCCUCUAGAUGUUAGAGAUCGGCCAUCCCCAAUUUCUGUUAGUACAUUAACGUCAAGUGAUGGUAAAUUAAAACAGUCAUCUGGGCAAAUGCUUGUCCUGCUAGGGAUAUUGCCAUGUGUUUUGGAGAGUUUGGAAGUCAAUGCAUACAGUAUAUGAUACAUUUGCCAUCACAGAUAAAGUAAUUGGGGCCAAUAGUUAGACAUAUGUGUAUGCGUCUAAACAUUGUUUCUUUAAACAAUGGGCUUCCAAGCUAAAUUUAAAACAUAUUUGCAGGUCUUUAAUUAAUCAUAACCAAAUAUACGAAAGUUGCUAAAGUGUUGACAGUUCAAUGCACCCAAUUUUUUUAAAUGAAAUGUAUCAGAGGUUAAAGAUCUACAAUAUUUACGUGGAAAAUUCAGGAACUUCCUAGGUUUCAAUAAAGUAAACCAAUGCUGUAUCAGUCAAAUGGCUUGUGAUAAAUUUUAAUAAAUACAUAACUCAGAAGUCCAUGAUCUUUGCCAAAGAACUGAAUGAUACAGUAAUAUGCCAGAAUUUGGACUGGUCAAAACACAUUUCUUGUUGAUUCUAGGCUUUAUUGUUUGGAAUAUCAACCAUUUCAAACUAUACGUUUUGCAGAGAAAGUGGGUAGUAGUCUUUCCUGUGUUUAUGCCUCCUCUGUCUCGUCCCGCCCCCCCACACACACACUACAUGUUCAUGUUUUUAAAUGUAUGUAAAUUGUAAAGUAUUUUGCCUGUAAUGUAUUUUCCGUUAUGUGUCGGACCCCAGUAAGACUAACUGUCACCACGUUGGCGUCAGCUAAUGGGGAUCCUAAUAAAUCAAACCCCAUACAG